rnacentral:rRNA from 1 species
GACGAACGCUGGCGGCGUGCUUAACACAUGCAAGUCGAACGGAAAGGCCCUGCUUUUGUGGGGUGCUCGAGUGGCGAACGGGUGAGUAACACGUGAGUAACCUGCCCUUGACUUUGGGAUAACUUCAGGAAACUGGGGCUAAUACCGGAUAGGAGCUCCUGCUGCAUGGUGGGGGUUGGAAAGUUUCGGCGGUUGGGGAUGGACUCGCGGCUUAUCAGCUUGUUGGUGGGGUAGUGGCUUACCAAGGCUUUGACGGGUAGCCGGCCUGAGAGGGUGACCGGCCACAUUAGGACUGAGAGACGGCGCAGACUCCUACGGGAGGCAGCAGUGGGGAAUAUUGCACAAUGGGCGGAAGCCUGAUGCAGCAGCGCCGCGUGCGUGAUGACGGCUUAUGGGUUGUAAACCACUUUCGCCUGUGACGAAGCGUGAGUGACGGUAAUGGGUAAAGAAGCACCGGCUAACUACGUG